rnacentral:rRNA from 1 species
UACGGGGGGGGGCAAGCGUUGUUCGGAAUUACUGGGCGUAAAGGGUUUGUAGGUGGCCCGCUAAGUCACACGUGAAAUCCCUCAGCUUAACUGGGGAACUGCGUGUGAGACUGGCAGGCUCGAGGGCAGGAGAGGAACGCGGAAUUCCAGGUGUAGCGGUGAAAUGCGUAGAUAUCUGGAGGAACACCGGUGGCGAAGGCGGCGUUCUGGACUGUCUCUGACACUGAAGAACGAAAGCCAGGGGAGCAAACGGGG